CUAGGAGGAGAUGCCGAGGGACGUGUAAACCACUUUGCAAGAUCAUCCCAGGAAAGGAACUAAAGGAGCCAGAACUUAGGGAGGAGGAGGAGGUCAGGAAGCCUCCUAAUCCUUGCUGUGUUGCCAAAUGGAAAUGUGAAAGCUGCCAGGAAAGAAUAGGGAUCAGAAGUGUCCAUUUCUAAUCAACCUAGGAAAUGAUACUCAAAGUUCACAACAAC
rnacentral:lncRNA from 1 species